rnacentral:rRNA from 1 species
UACGUAGGGUGCGAGCGUUAAUCGGAAUUACUGGGCGUAAAGUGUGCGCAGGCGGCCGCGCAAGUCGAGUGUGAAAGCCCCGAGCUUAACUUGGGAAUUGCGCUCGAAACUACGUGGCUGGAGUGUGGCAGAGGAAGGUGGAAUUCCACGUGUAGCGGUGAAAAUGCGUAGAGAUGUGGAGGAACACCGAUGGCGAAGGCAGCCUUCUGGGCCAACACUGACGCUCAUGCACGAAAGCGUGGGGAGCAAACAGG